ACUGGAAUUGUCAGAUAACAGUGUUGGACUAUUGGUUAGCUUGCAUUCUUGCUGCGUAGUAGGGAAGGUCAGUAGGCUAAAGUCUGUUCUCUAGCCAUCUCUGUUAUUCUGGGUUUAAAGUGAAUUACAGCCUUUCCUGUAUGGAGAAUAGGAGCAAACACAGCAUCUAUUUUUGACUCUAACCUAACUCUGCAGUGAGUAUCUAUUUUCAGUUGUUUGAGGGGAAGAGGAUAGGAGUUGACUGUCAGUCCUUCCAAGUGUGCGCUACAUUCACUUGCUGGUUACUUUUGUAUGUUUUGAGAUCCAUGGCUGCUCUGGGAGAAGGCAGUUGUUAUGAAGUUCUUGACUGGUUUGAACGAAGCUAAACGUCUUGAUCUCCAAGUGUCAAAUGCCUCCAGAAAGCUGUAAAAGAUCCUUACCCUAUUAUUUGCUGACCAUGUGCUUUUAAACUAGGAGUCUGUGCUAAGUGUGGAAAGGAAGAAGAAAUUGUAAUUCUUUACAUCAUUGAGCAAAGUUCUGGUCUGCAGAAAGCUACUGCUUUAAGGACAAAACCACUGAGUCAUGUUAUUCUACAACUGGGACUACUUUGCCCCUUCCUAAAGAGUACUUUGAUACUCCACUAAAGUCACCUGAGCUACAAGGUUUCACAUGAGAAAAGUCUGCAGAGAUGAGAAAGCACUGAUCUGCAAUACUGUUUAAAUCCACUUUCUCUGAAAGCACACACCAGGAAAGAAAUAGAGAUCAGACAUGGCUUGAAGUUAAUGUGACGCGCCACUAGAGGGGCAUCCGGGAUUCUUUCGGAUUCCAGGGUUAGUCGCACUGAACUCGAGAGAUCAUCUUUUGUCAGAUGGAAGAAUUUAUUAGAUCUAAGCAGUUCUACACAUAUGACGGACACUGGACAACACUAAACCAUUAACAGCAGACAAUCUACAAGUAUGACAAAGCUAAGAAGUAUAGUAAAGAAUUAAAAACAGACUACACAUAUCAGAGCUCUAUGGUUAACCACCGAAGCAC
rnacentral:lncRNA from 1 species